GAGGGUAUAACUCAGUGGUAGAGUACAUGCCUAAUGUAUGAGGUCCUGGGUUCAACUCCCAGUACCUCCA
rnacentral:tRNA from 1 species